rnacentral:lncRNA from 1 species
GAUCGCUAAGAACUUGUACUCGCUCCUCCCCGAGACGGCGGAGACCCGGUUCGCCAAGCAGAUGUCAGAGAUGCAGAGCGAGAAUAAGUACAAGCAGGACAAAGAGGAUCUGCCCAACUCGUUGUUCUCUCUGCUGCCGGAAACUCUGCACACUCAGUUUGUGAAGGAGAUGUCAGAGACACACAGCGAGGUCAAGUACAAGGAGGCAGGAAAGAAGGAGGCCAGCAGCUCCCUGUACCACCAGCUGCCCGAGACUCUGGAGACGCGGCGCGUUAAAGAGGUUACGGAGCUGCAGAGCGAGAACAAGUACAAGCACAGCGGGAGGCGCUCCACGUCCUCCAGUCUGUACGCUCGGCUGCCGCAGACGGCCGAGACGCAGCUCGCCACCAAGAUGUCCGACCUGCAGAGCGAGG